rnacentral:rRNA from 1 species
UACGUAGGGGGCAAGCGUUGUCCGGAUUUAUUGGGCGUAAAGAGCGUGUAGGCGGUUAUACAGGUCCGCUGUGAAAACUGGAGGCUCAACCUCGAGACGCCGGCGGAAACCAUCAGGCUAGAGUCCGGAAGAGGAGAGUGGAAUCCUGGUGUAGCGGUGAAUGACGCAGAUAUCAGGAAGAACACCCGUGGCUAAGGCGGCUCUCUAGUACGGUACUGACGCUGAGACGCGAAAGCGUGGGGAGCGAACAGG